CGCUCCGGUGGCCUAGUGGUUAGCAUCCGCCUCGGAUGCGGGAGCUCGUGGGUUCGAACCCCGGCUGAGUAA